AGUGAACGCUGGCGGUAGGCCUAACACAUGCAAGUCGAACGGCAGCACAGAGGAGCUUGCUCCUUGGGUGGCGAGUGGCGGACGGGUGAGGAAUACAUCGGAAUCUACUCUGUCGUGGGGGAUAACGUAGGGAAACUUACGCUAAUACCGCAUACGACCUACGGGUGAAAGCAGGGGAUCUUCGGACCUUGCGCGAUUGAAUGAGCCGAUGUCGGAUUAGCUAGUUGGCGGGGUAAAGGCCGACCAAGGCGACGAUCCGUAGCUGGUCUGAGAGGAUGCUCAGCCACACUGGAACGGGUACACGGUCCAGACGCCUACGGGAGGCAGCAGUGGGGAAUAUUGGACAAUGGGCGCAAGCGUGAUCCAGCCAUACCGCGUGGGUGAAGAAGGCCUUCGGGUUGUAAAGCCCUUUUGUUGGGAAAGAAAUCCAUCUGGUUAAUACCCGGGUGGGAUGACGGUACCCAAAGAAUAAGCACCGGCUAACUUCGUGCCAGCCGCCGCAGUAA
rnacentral:rRNA from 1 species